GCAGUGUACCCGCGGCAAGACGGAAAGACCCCGUGAACCUUUACUAUAGCUUGACACUGAACAUUGAGCCUUGAUGUGUAGGAUAGGUGGGAGGCUUUGAAGCGUGGACGCCAGUCUGCGUGGAGCCAACCUUGAAAUACCACCCUUUAAUGUUUGAUGUUCUAACGUUGGCCCCUGACCGGGGUUGCGGACAGUGUCUGGUGGGUAGUUUGACUGGGGCGGUCUCCUCCCAAAGCGUAACGGAGGAGCACGAAGGUUAGCUAAUCCUGGUCGGACAUCAGGAGGUUAGUGCAAUGGCAUAAGC
rnacentral:rRNA from 1 species